rnacentral:rRNA from 1 species
AGUGAACGCUGGCGGUAGGCCUAACACAUGCAAGUCGAACGGCAGCACAGUAAGCGCUUGCUCUUACGGGUGGCGAGUGGCGGACGGGUGAGGAAUACAUCGGAAUCUACUUUUUCUUGGGGGAUAACGUAGGGAAACUUACGCUAAUACCGCAUACGACCUACGGGUGAAAGCAGGGGAUCUUCGGACCUUGCGCGAUUGAAUGAGCCGAUGUCGGAUUAGCUAGUUGGCGGGGUAAAGGCCCACCAAGGCGACGAUCCGUAGCUGGUCUGAGAGGAUGAUCAGCCACACUGGAACUGAGACACGGUCCAGACUCCUACGGGAGGCAGCAGUGGGGAAUAUUGGACAAUGGGCGCAAGCCUGAUCCAGCCAUACCGCGUGGGUGAAGAAGGCCUUCGGGUUGUAAAGCCCUUUUGGUGGGAAAGAAAAGCAGCAGGUUAAUACCCCGCUGUUCUGACGGUACCCAAAGAAUAAGCACCGGCUAACUUCGUG